CGCCUGUUACAGUUGUCCGCGAUUAAGCGGCCGGCCGUGGUUUUUAUGCCCGCGCGAAUAUAAUUUCACGGAGCGAGAUUGUGCGCGAUCCUAAUCGCUUUUUCUACAUCGCACAGUUGCGAAGUGUCGGCGAGGCAACGUUCAAAUAGUUCCCGAGGUCACGCCAUUGCGAGGUUACGCAUUGUAAGAACGAAGGGCCGGGGUUUCCCAUGCGUGCGAUCAAGAUGAAGCUAAUCUCCUUCCUCUUACUGCUAUUUGUCGGCUCCGUCCUCUCAGCGUCCUGGCUUGAUCUGUGGUUUCCCGGGCAAUCCUCGUAUAACGGGGGAAAUGAUCCGCAUCGGCAGUACCGUGAAGGAAGAGGCGGCGGUAAGGAACGCUGGAAGCAGAUCUGCAGAACGAUAAAUGUCGAUCCUUAUGCGUAUCCAGGACGCGUGCCUUAUCCCGCCGCGCUCGUCUGUCCGUGGUAGAGAAAACUCUCCAUAGGUGGAACAGAAAAUAACGAUGACGAUGAAAACGACGUUAAAACGAUAAGAAAAAAAAAA